rnacentral:rRNA from 1 species
GGGGAAUAUUGGACAAUGGGCGAAAGCCUGAUCCAGCAACGCCGCGUGAGUGAUGAAGGCCUUCGGGUUGUAAAGCUCUUUCAGUAGGGAAGAUAAUGACGGUACCUACAGAAGAAGCUCCGGCUAACUUCGUGCCAGCAGCCGCGGUAAUACGAAGGGAGCUAGCGUUACUCGGAAUUAUUGGGCGUAAAGCGUGCGUAGGCGGUUUUAACAGUCGGAAGUGAAAGCCUGAGGCUCAACCUCAGAAUUGCUUUCGAUACUAUAAAACUUGAGUAUUAGAGGGGAUAGCGGAAUUCUUAGUGUAGAGGUGAAAUUCGUAGAUAUUAAGAGGAACACCGGUGGCGAAGGCGGCUAUCUGGCUAAAUACUGACGCUGUUGCACGAAAGCGUGGGGAGCAAACAGGA